rnacentral:lncRNA from 1 species
GCUUCCUGUUCCUCGCACUGCUAUCAUACUGCACCUCCUGAAGUCUUCUUCCUGGGCUCUGCUCAGGCUUGCCUCAACAGCAAGGCACAGGCGCAGCUUAAGGCCCAGCAGAGUCUGUGGGCUUUCUCUGAGAAGCACCAACAGGGAAGAAGUCUAUAAGUUCCUCUCAAGAUAUCCAAGGGGCAAUGAAGGUCAGUCAGUGCAGCCCAGCACAAACAAUGCGGACACAUCAGGAUGGGAAAGCCUGCAUUUAUUUGCCCAUGGAGAGAAAGCAGUCCUACUACAUGAUGGUGCCACACACGAUAGUGCAACACAAUGUGCCCUGUUUUAG